rnacentral:misc_RNA from 1 species
AACGGUCUAUACCUGCGGUACCUGCGGAAGGAUCAUUACCGAGUUAGGGUCUUUUGGCCCGACCUCCAACCCUUUGUUUAUUAUACCAUGUUGCUUUGGUGGGCCUGCCUUUCGGGGCUGCCGGGGGCAUCACUGCCCCUGACUCGUGCCUGCCAGGAGCCUUCUUAAAUUCAGUGUUCAACGGUGCUGUCUGAGUCCCAGUAUCAAAAUAUCAAAAACUUUCAGCAACGGAUCUCUAGA